AGAGAGAGACAUGCGCGCAUAUCAAUAAGCGGAGGAAAAGAAACUAACUAGGAUUCCCUUAGUAACGGCGAGUGAAGCGGGAAGAGCUCAAAUUUGAAAUCUUCAAGGUUCUACCUUGACGAAUUGUAGUUUAAAGAAGUGUUUUCUGUUGGAGUUUUGGUAAAAGUUCUUUGGAAUAGGACAUCAUAGAGGGUGAGAAUCCCGUAUUUGACCAUUAUUUCCAGCUUUGUGAUACACUUUCAAAGAGUCGGAUUGUUUGGGAAUGCAGUCCAAAAUGGGUGGUAAAUUUCAUCUAAAGCUAAAUAUUGGCGAGAGACCGAUAGCGAACAAGUACCGUGAGGGAAAGAUGAAAAGAACUUUGAAAAGAGAGUUAAACAGUACGUGAAAUUGUCAAGAGGGAAGCGUUUGACACCAGUGUUGUUUUCUCGAAAAUCAAUUAAAAAAGGCAGGAUUUUGUGUUGUAUUGACUUUAUCAGCUUUCUGCACUCUUUUCUUGUCUUUUUUAAUGCACUUUUCGUUUAACAAGUCAACAUCAAUUUCUUUUGUUGUAAAAGGGUCAUUGGAAGGUGGCUUUCCUUUCGGAGAAAGUGUUUAUAGCCUUUGGCCUCUGCAGUCGGAGAGAUUGAGGUCUGCAGCGUAGAUCCUUCGGGGUUAGAUACAUUUGUGCUAAGUUAUAGCCUUUCAUAGACAACUUGUUGACUAUGAUCAGUCCAUGUAGCUUACUCGCUUAUGCUAUUUUACCUACGCUUAGGAUGUUGAUGUGAUACUGCGAGCA
rnacentral:rRNA from 1 species